rnacentral:rRNA from 1 species
UACAGAGGGCUCAAGCGUUGUUCGGAUUCAUUGGGCGUAAAGGGCGCGUAGGCGGCGCGGCAAGUCGGGUGUGAAAUCUCGGGGCUUAACUCCGGAACUGCAUUCGAUACUGCCGUGCUUGAGGACUGGAGAGGAGACUGGAAUUUACGGUGUAGCGGUGAAAUGCGUAGAUAUCGUAAGGAAGACCAGUGGCGAAGGCGGGUCUCUGGACAGUUCCUGACGCUGAGGCACGAAGGCCAGGGGAGCAAACGGG